rnacentral:rRNA from 1 species
UACGGGGGGUGCGAGCGUUGUCCGGAUUCACUGGGCGUAAAGGGCGCGUAGGCGGCCCGGUCAGUCGGACCUUUAAGAGCGGGGCUCACCCCCGUGUGGGGUUCGGGACGGCCGGGCUGGGGCGCGGCAGAGGGGGACGGAAUGCCGGGUGUAGUGGUGAAAUGCGUAGAGAUCCGGCGGAACACCGGUGGUGAAGACGGUCCCCUGGGCCGAGGCCGACGCUGAGGCGCGAGAGCGCGGGGAGCGAUCCGG